GCAAAAUGAAAUGUAUGUUUUAGAAAAAUUGUUCUUUUUAUUCCAUAUUUGCCAUUGCCAAAAACUGUUGCAACAAUGGUAAGGUGAUUUCUACUUUCAUUCCCUGAUGAAUCCAGCUUCCGAUAAGGGAAUUGCAGAAACCAGUUCUGUGAGCCAAAUGUUUAGUUAUAAUAUCCAAACAAUGUUAGGAUUGUGCUGCUUUUAAACUUAUUAUGAAAAUUCAAUCGUGUCUGUUUUAUUUAUUAUAUGUUAUUAUUUGCUUGUUUAAUAAAUGAAAAGAAAAAUGAAAUACUGUGGUUUCACAAUCAUAGGUGACUGCCACAACUUGUGAGUUGUGAUCAUGGUUUCUGUUUCAUAUGCUUUUUGCGAAUGCUAUAUUUACGAUCAUUGAAUCAACAUGGGAUGUCCAAAUGUUUCCUUGCUGGUAGUUAUGAUCAGUUGUGUCAUAUCUUUGAAAAGGUUUGGUAUGGGUUUCUGCACAAUUUUGACUUCAUGGCAAAAACAUGCACAAGUUAUUAUGCUUUAUACUAUGAAAAGCCUACAGCCUAGGUCUUGUUUGCAUUGACCACAGAUCCUUUGUUUCAUAUCCUUCUGGUACAAAAUACUAAUAUAAUGCUUUGCUUUGGUUUUUUACUGUGAGUUUGUUUAUGAAGCAGCUUUUGCUGCUGAAGAAGCUGGGAACAUGGUCUGAAAUUUCUUUCCAAGGCCACUUGAAAAAGGGACAUGAUGGUCGAUGAGAAGUCUGUCAUGGGACAAAAAUGGUUUCUUUUGCUUGUACCUUUGCCUUAGUUCCAUUUGUUUGUAUCAUAGUCUCGAUACUUUGUAUCCAAACUCUAAAUUUUUUUUUUUUAUACACAUGCACACACGCAUAUUCAAUAGCUCAAGUUUUACUGGGAACAUCAAUGGCUCAUGUCCGGAAUUGGGUAGAAUUUUCCAUGUAUUAUAUACCUAAUUCCAAAGUGAAAUGGUUCGCUUUUGCUGUAUUCCCAUAUAAGAUACUUGUGUUUUAGACUUUAAGAUCAAACAAAUCAAUGUCUGAGAGUCUCUUUUUACAGAGACAAACAACAAAAGUAGAAUGUUUUUUAAUAGAAUGAUUGCAGCAGACAGAGAUUCUUGAAUGCACUGUAAUAGCAGGGCCUUUUUGAUGCUUAUAUAUAAAAACAAAGGGGGAGCUUAGGAGCAGCAGGUUUACAAAUAUUCCAAUGGUAGUGGGGAUAUGGUAGUGGUACACUUCCCCACCACCACCACUACAACGGGCAAUUAACCCACCAUGCACAUUCAUGUCGAGUAGAGCCCCUCCAUUUGCCUAUAAUGCUUGUACUGAUGCUUCAUUUUACAUGUACAAAAUCAUUGAGUUUUUCUU